AGGACAACUGUUGAACUCUGCUGGAUUGCUAAUCAGUAUAUUACCUUCUGCAGAGAAAGGCAAUAUGAACUCCAGGCCACAAGAUAAGAUAUACAAGCACUCAUUCUCUCUCACCCUGUGAAGAGGUAUCUUCCAACAUGAUCGUGAGUUUCCUGAGCCCUCCCCAGCCAUGCAGAACUAUGGCCAUGAGAUUUAAUGUACAAGAAAAUGGAAGUAAAGCUGACUGACUAAAUGAAAAAUAAAAUGAGAGUGGAAAAAAACAUCGUGGACAACACAGUGACAAAAUCAUAACCUCCC